rnacentral:rRNA from 1 species
AUUGAACGCUGGCGGCAUGCCUUACACAUGCAAGUCGAACGGCAGCACGGGUGCUUGCACCUGGUGGCGAGUGGCGAACGGGUGAGUAAUAUAUCGGAACGUACCUUAUUGUGGGGGAUAACGCAGCGAAAGCUGUGCUAAUACCGCAUAAUCCCUUAGGGGGAAAGCGGGGGACCGUAAGGCCUCGCGCAAUUAGAGCGGCCGAUACCUGAUUAGCUAGUUGGUGAGGUAAAGGCUCACCAAGGCGACGAUCCUUAGCUGGUCUGAGAGGAUGAUCAGCCACACUGGGACUGAGACACGGCCCAGACUCCUACGGGAGGCAGCAGUGGGGAAUAUUGGACAAUGGGCGAAAGCCUGAUCCAGCAAUGCCGCGUGAGUGAUGAAGGCCUUAGGGUUGUAAAGCUCUUUUACCAGGGAUGAUAAUGACAGUACCUGGAGAAUAAGCUCCGGCUAACUCCGUG